GAAAGCUGGAAUUUCGUAAUUUUCAUUCUCUUGUUGUCUUUGUUCUUCCUCGUUCAAUUUCGAACGAUUAGUGAUUGUUACAAUGCAGACCAAUUAUUAAACUACAUUAAAAAAUUAUCUGUAAUUAUAGAACGAAAUUUAAUGGACAAGUAAAGCAAUUAUUUCCUUGUAAAGGAAGAUAGAAACUGAUCUAAAGAAGCUGACGUACCUGACCUACAAGAACCUGACGCAGGUACACGAGUGUUUGAAAAUUACUACUAAGAAAACAGAAACACGUUUCUUCGUCUCUACUGUAUUCAGCAACGAUAUGUUAAAGUUUGCAAUCAGGUAGCGAUCACACAAUGGCCCUUCGUAAACUAACGCUCGUUAAAAAUCCCGUCUUAAGAACACUACGGUUAACGCAUUCGAUAAAGAAGAGGAUUACUCACUGUUCUUUGCGAAUGUUUCGAGAGCAAUCGUUCGGAUCUUCGCCGGGAA
rnacentral:lncRNA from 1 species